GAGCACAUUGUGAGCUGAGGUGAGUGCCAAUUAACCAUUUUGCACGACCCAAAGUAAAAAAAUUUAACUUGAUAUAUUUUGAAAUAAGCUUCUUCCAGAUAAAAAUCCUAGCAGUGAUGCAUGUGGACUUUUUAGAGGAGAGAUUAAGGCAUCCCUACAUACCUCAGUCCUUGUUCUGUUUUAAGAUAACUUUAAGCACAUAAGUUAAUUAGCAAACAUGGUAGUUUGUGGAAACAUGUCUUAGUCAUUUUGGGGUUAGUUGUCACAUGUUUAAAAGGGAUUAAAAUUUACAUAGAAAGUCUGCUUAUCAGCAGUUGUCAUUUUGAAAUUUGGACUUUAUUUUUACAGAGAAAAGAGUGGUUUAAAGAAGAGGAGAAAGCAAGAAGACGGUGAGGAAUUACAAAAGAAAAACAGAAUGUGACAGUGCAGUACCUGGCGUGAUGCUGAGGGCAGUCAGGCAGGUGACCCUAGCUAAUAAAUCAAUCUGAAGGACAAUCAAGUACUUAAAUGUCAACUACCAUACCUUGGCUCAUUCACCUCAGCCGAAACACAGCUCUCCUAACUCCAGAGCAUGUUGUGUAGUAUUUUAUGUUAACGUUUGUUCAAU